UGCCCCAUAGCUCAAUUGGCAGAGCAAGCGGCUGUUAACCGCGAGGUUGUAGGUUCGAGUCCUACUGGGGCAGCCA
rnacentral:tRNA from 1 species